AUUGAACGCUGGCGGCAGGCCUAACACAUGCGAGUCGAGCGGAUGAAGGCAGCUUGCUCCUGGAUUCAGCGGCGGACGGGUGAGUAAUGCCUAGGAAUCUGCCUGGUAGUGGGGGAUAACGUCCGGAAACGGGCGCUAAUACCGCAUACGUCCUGAGGGAGAAAGUGGGGGAUCUUCGGACCUCACGCUAUCAGAUGAGCCUAGGUCGGAUUAGCUAGUUGGUGGGGUAAAGGCCUACCAAGGCGACGAUCCGUAACUGGUCUGAGAGGAUGAUCAGUCACACUGGAACUGAGACACGGUCCAGACUCCUACGGGAGGCAGCAGUGGGGAAUAUUGGACAAUGGGCGAAAGCCUGAUCCAGCCAUGCCGCGUGUGUGAAGAAGGUCUUCGGAUUGUAAAGCACUUUAAGUUGGGAGGAAGGGCAGUAAGUUAAUACCUUGCUGUUUUGACGUUACCAACAGAAUAAGCACCGGCUAACUUCGUG
rnacentral:rRNA from 1 species